CAGUAGCCGCGGGAAAACGAAGGGGGCUAGCGUUGCUCGGAAUGACUGGGCGUAAAGGGCGCGUAGGCGGUUUUGACAGUCAGAUGUGAAAUUCCUGGGCUUAACCUGGGGGCUGCAUUUGAGACGUCAAGACUAGAGUGUGAGAGAGGGUUGUGGAAUUCCCAGUGUAGAGGUGAAAUUCGUAGAUAUUCGGAAGAACACCAGUGGCGAAGGCGGCUUACUGGCUCAUACUGGACGCUGAGGUGCGAAAGCGUGGGGAGCAAACAGGAUUAGAUACCCGCGUAGUCCCUGUCUCUUAUAC
rnacentral:rRNA from 1 species